UGGCGAACGGGUGAGUAACGCGUGAGUAGCCUAUCCUUGAGUUGGGGAUAACACACUGAAAGGUGUGCUAAUACCCGGUAAGACUACGAUUCCUAUGGGGAUUGUAAGAAAAGGUGGCUUCUUCAUAGAAGAGGCUAUUGCUCAAGGAGGGGCUCGCGUACUAUUAGCUUGUUGGUAGGGUAAUGGCCUACCAAGGCGAUGAUGGUUAGCUGGUCUGAGAGGAUGGCCAGCCACACUGGAACUGAGACACGGUCCAGACUCCUACGGGAGGCAGCAGUGGGGAAUAUUGCGCAAUGGGGGAAACCCUGACGCAGCGACGCCGCGUGGGUGAAGAAGGCCUUCGGGUCGUAAAGCCCUGUCAGGUGGGAAGAAAGGGAAGGGGGUGAAUAAUCCCAUUCCUUUGACGGUACCACCAGAGGAAGCACUGGCUAACUCUGUGCCAGCAGCCGCGGUAAAACGGAGAGUGAGAGCGUUGUUCGGAGUUACUGGGCGUAAAGGGCGCGUAGGCGGUUUUAUAAGUCAGAGGUGAAAGCCCUCGGCUCAACCGAGGAAUGGCCUCUGAAACUGUGGAGCUUGAGUGCGAGAGAGGAGAGCGGAAUUCCCAGUGUAGAGGUGAAAUUCGUAGAUAUUGGGAGGAACACCGGUGGCGAAGGCGGCUCUCUGGAUCGCAACUGACGCUGAGGCGCGAAAGCGUGGGGAGCAAACAGGAUUAGAUACCCUGGUAGUCCACGCUGUAAACGGUGGUAUUAGGUGUUGUGGGGUAAUAAAUUCCUGCAGUGCCGAAGCUAACGCAUUAAAUACCCUCGCCUGGGGGAGUACGGCCGCAAGGUUAAAACUCAAGGGAAUUUGACGGGGGCCCGCACAGCGUGAGCAUGUGGUUUAACUCG
rnacentral:rRNA from 1 species